rnacentral:rRNA from 1 species
UACGUGAGGGUGCGAGCGUUUGUCCGGAAUUAUUGGGCGUUAAAGAGCUCGUAGGCGGUUUGUCGCGUCGGCCGUGAAAACUUGGGGCUUAACCCCAAGCCUGCGGUCGAUACGGGCAGACUUGAGUUCGGCAGGGGAGACUGGAAUUCCGUGGUGUAGCGGUGAAAUGCGCAGAUAUCAGGAGGAACACCGGUGGCGAAGGCGGGUCUCUGGGCCGAUACUGACGCUGAGGAGCGAAAGCGUGGGGAGCGAACAGG